CAAAGUGCUCCCGGAUUCAAAGAUAUGGGGUUGGGAUCCAGUGACAAGGAAAGAUUCAGGUCCCGGUCCAAAGCGGCCAGGGCCAGGGGUCUGGCUCGGGUGGGCGCGGUGUAGGAAAAAAGAGAGAAUCGUCCCGGCUCCGAGCAGCAGCUUCAGCUUCAGAUAAAGAGACAAAAUAGGAGAGAGAGUGAGAGAAAGAAAAAAGGAGAGACACCACAGCACUACUCCACCAUUCAUGGAUCUUCCCCUAUGUGGUGCUGGGGGCUUGAAUCCAAGUUCUCUGAGAAGGUGAAGUGUGUGAUCUACUGGGUGAGAGCCUUGAUUUCACCAGUCCUGGAACCUCUAGGGUUGGGCACACUUUCCUGCAUGCUUCUCUCAAUUCAUACCAAAUGAUAUUGUAUCCACUGAUCACAACCUAAUCAACGCAACGAGUACCACCUCAGCAUGCUUCACUUCAGACUGUGUCCAGAGACGUCAGGAGUGGAAUGUCAACCCUUCAGCCUCAUU